GGGAAGUAGUACAGAUAGUGUAGAGUUCCCACACACCCUAGACCCAGUCUUCUCUGUUAUUAACAUUAAUACUUGAGUAUGGCACAUUUGUCACAAUUAAAGAACCAAAUUAUUAUUUCAUGGUUUAUAGUAAACCAAAUUCCAUAUUGUUACUCAGAUUUCCUUAGUUCUUACCUAAUAUCCUUUAUCUGUUCCAUGAUCCUGUCUGGGACACUAUUUCAUUGUCAUGUUUCCUUAGGCUUCUCUUGACUGACUGUGACAGUUUCCUAAACUCUCCUUCUUAUUGAUGAUCUGGACAGUUUUCAGGAAUAUUGAUCAGGUAUUUUGUCAAAUGACCCUCAGUUGGAACUUGUGUGAAGUUUUUCCCAUUAUUAGACUGGGUUUAUGGACUUUCUAGGAGGAAGACUUCAGAUAAAAUGUCAUUCUCAUUAUAUCAAGGGCACAUACAAGCAAUAUGACUUACCACUGAUGUUGAUGUUAACCAACCAACCUACCUACCUUCCUUCCUUCCUUUUUCUUUCUUUCUUUCUUUUUUUUUUUUUUGACAGAGUCUUGCCGUGUUGCUAGGCGGAGCUUGCAGUGAGCUGAGAUCACGCCACUGCACUGCAUCCAGCCUGGGCCACAGAGCGAGACUCCAUCUC
rnacentral:lncRNA from 10 species